UGGAGGGCAAGUCUGGUGCCAGCAGCCGCGGUAAUUCCAGCUCCAAUAGCGUAUAUUAAAGUUGUUGCAGUUAAAAAGCUCGUAGUUGAAUUUCGGGGUUAGUAGGUUGGUCAUGCCAUUGGUAUGUACUGAUCUCACUGAUUCCUCCUUCCUGAUGAACCGUAAUGCCAUUAAUUUGGUGUUGCGGGGAGACUGGACUGUUACUUUGAAAAAAUUAGAGUGUUUAAAGCAGGCUAACGCUUGAAUACAUUAGCAUGGAAUAAUGAAAUAGGACGUUCGAUCCUAUUUUGUUGGUUUCUAGGAUUGACGUAAUGAUUAAUAGGGAUAGUUGGGGGCAUUAGUAUUCAAUUGUCAGAGGUGAAAUUCUUGGAUUUAUUGAAGACUAACUACUGCGAAAGCAUUUGCCAAGGAUGUUUUCAUUAAUCAAGAACGAAAGUUAGGGGAUCGAAGACGAUCAGAUACCGUCGUAGUCUUAACCAUAAACUAUGCCGACUAGGGAUCGGAUGAUGUUAAUUUUUUAAUGACUCAUUCGGCGCCUUACGGGAAACCAAAGUGUUUGGGUUC
rnacentral:rRNA from 1 species